UCUUGAUGAUGAUUCCAAGAUCUCUGAGCAAAUUGUAGUUGGUCCUUCAUUUGCGACGGCUGAUGUUUUUUGUUCUUUCAAGACGGGGCUGAGAGAAGC
rnacentral:snoRNA from 1 species